rnacentral:rRNA from 1 species
UACGUAGGGGGCAAGCGUUGUCCGGAAUCAUUGGGCGUAAAGAGCGUGUAGGCGGCCAGAUAAGUCCGCUGUGAAAGUCCAGGGCUCAACCCUGGAAGGCCGGUGGAAACUGUCGGGCUAGAGUCCGGAAGAGGCGAGUGGAAUUCCCGGUGUAGCGGUGAAAUGCGCAGAUAUCGGGAGGAACACCAAUGGCGAAGGCAGCUCGCUGGGACGGUACUGACGCUGAGACGCGAAAGCGUGGGGAGCAAACAGG